ACGAUGCGCCAAGUAGAGUGAUCGAAAGAUGAAAAGCACUUUGGAAAGAGAGUUAAAAAGUACGUGAAAUUGUUGAAAGGGAAGCGCUUGCAACCAGACUCGGCCGCUUCGGUUCAACCCUACCCGUGUAGGGCUUACUCCGUUGCGGUCGGGCCAGCAUCGGUUUGGGCGGUCGUUUAAAGGCGUUGGGAAUGUAGCUCCUCUCGGGGAGUGUUAUAGCCCUUCGUGCAAUGCGGCCUGCCUGGACCGAGGACCGCGCUUCGGCAAGGAUGCUGGCGUAAUGGUUGUAAGCGGCCCGUCUUGAAACACGGACCAAGGAGUCUAACAUCUAUGCGAGUGUUUGGGUGUCAAACCCCUACGCGCAAUGAAAGUGAACGGAGGUCGGAGCCCUCGGGCGCACGAUCGACCGAUCCUGAUGUCUUCGGAUGGAUUUGAGUAAGAGCAUAAAUGUUGGGACCCGAAAGAUGUGCGAACUAUGCUUGAGUAGGCCGAAGCCAGCGGAAACGCUGGUGGAGGGUCGCAGCGGUUCUGACGUGCAAAUCGAUCGUCAAACUUGAGUAUAGGGGCGAAAGACUAAUCGAGCCAUCUAGUAGCUGGUUCCUGCCGAAGUUUCCCUUAGGAUAGCAGUAACGUUUUCAGUUUUAUGAGGUAAAGCGAAUGAUUAGAGGCCUGGGGGUUGAAACAACCUUCACCUAUUCUCAAACUUUAAAUAUGUAAGAAGCCCUUGUUGCUUAGUUGAACGUGGGCACUCGAAUGUACCGUUACUAGUGGGCCAUUUU
rnacentral:rRNA from 1 species